rnacentral:rRNA from 1 species
UAGGGAAUCUUCCGCAAUGGGCGAAAGCUUGACGGAGCAACGCCGCGUGAGUGAUGAAGGUCUUCGGAUCGUAAAACUCUGUUAUUAGGGAAGAACAAAUGUGUAAGUAACUAUGCACGUCUUGACGGUACCUAAUCAGAAAGCCACGGCUAACUACGUGCCAGCAGCCGCGGUAAUACGUAGGUGGCAAGCGUUAUCCGGAAUUAUUGGGCGUAAAGCGCGCGUAGGCGGUUUUUUAAGUCUGAUGUGAAAGCCCACGGCUCAACCGUGGAGGGUCAUUGGAAACUGGAAAACUUGAGUGCAGAAGAGGAAAGUGGAAUUCCAUGUGGAGCCGUGAAAUGCGCAGAGAUAUGGAGGAACACCAGUGGCGAAGGCGACUUUCUGGUCUGUAACUGACGCUGAUGUGCGAAAGCGUGGGGAUCAAACAGG